rnacentral:rRNA from 1 species
AACGAACGCUGGCGGCAGGCUUAACACAUGCAAGUCGAACGCUCGUAGCAAUACGGGAGUGGCGGACGGGUGAGUAACGCGUGGGAACGUGCCCUGAGGUACGGAAUAACUGCGGGAAACUGCAGCUAAUACCGUAUGAGCCCCGUGAGGGGGAAAGAUUUAUCGCCUUAGGAGCGGCCCGCGUCGGAUUAGCUAGUUGGUGGGGUAACGGCUUACCAAGGCUUCGAUCCGUAGCUGGUCUGAGAGGACGAUCAGCCACACUGGGACUGAGACACGGCCCAGACUCCUACGGGAGGCAGCAGUGGGGAAUCUUGCGCAAUGGGGGCAACCCUGACGCAGCCAUGCCGCGUGAAUGAUGAAGGCCUUAGGGUUGUAAACCUCUUUCAGCAGGGAAGAAGCGAAAGUGACGGUACCUGCAGAAGAAGCACCGGCUAACUACGUG